rnacentral:lncRNA from 1 species
ACUCACAGCACAUCAAGUCACGCUCUGUCCCAUCAUUUCUGAAGGCAAAAAUGCCACUCAACACGACGUGACGGGACGGAACGCAACUCAGCGGCUGAAAAAACAACAGGAAACUUCUGGAGGUGUGACAUGGACCCCCAAAAUUACCCUGGAAUAAACCCUGGGAAGAUCCCAGGAGUCAAGGUGCAAAAAGGGGCAGCUGAGUGACUUCUGUCUUCGUGAAGCAAACUAUUCCCAUGUGCACACAAAAGGACCUUCAGCAGCAGGAUAUUUCCAUUUAAACACACCACUUAGGCACAGAAAGUGAAGUUUCCUCCAUUUUUGAAGAUUUCACUGGAAGAGCCUGAAUUCCUUAGCUGACAGGAUUGCAUCAGAGAAGUUUUUCAGCUUUGUGGGAGAAAGGAAGGAGGAAUCCACCCCCUAAAGAACAGCACAACAGUUUCCAGGCUGAAGUCUCUAACAAACACAACCUCCUCUGUGCUUCUGCAGACACAGACCCACCAGCCCUGUGAGAAGAUGAGUGUGUUUACCAUGUUGAAGAGAUCAGCAGCAGAUUUAUUGGACAGAGUAAAGCCUUUGGGCAGACGAGAAAAAUUCUAAAAAAUCCAGUUUCCAAGCAGGAAAUUUGAGGAGUGAUGCAGAGAUCGUGACAGAAGCUGAAAACUGCAUGCAGAGACAAUGCCUCAGUGUCAAACUUAACACAUGAAAACAGCA